AGUUGGUCCCAGGAUUGUGGGUUAUUUUUAAGCUGAUUAACAUUGUCUCCCUCCCGCGUCCAUACUUGACCAGCUGUGCUCUUUU
rfam:Tupaia chinensis contig182099, whole genome shotgun sequence.